rnacentral:misc_RNA from 1 species
AAAUGUGAUAAGUAGUGUGAAUUGCAGAAUUCAGUGAAUCAUCGAAUCUUUGAACGCACAUUGCGCCCCUUGGUAUUCCAUGGGGCAUGCCUGUUCGAGCGUCAUUUGUACCCUCAAGCUCUGCUUGGUGUUGGGUGUUUGUCCCCGUCUCCGCGCGUGGACUCGCCCCAAAGUGAUUGGCAGCCGGCGUACUGGUCCCGGAGCGCAGCACAUGUCGCGCAAACGAGUGCCUUGGUACGGCGGCGUCCAUAAGCCCCUCUCUCACGCUCUUGACCUCGGAUCAGGUAGGGAUACCCGCUGAACUUAAGC